GAGUUUGAUCGUGGCUCAGAUUGAACGCUGGCGGCAGGCCUAACACGUGCAAGUCGGGCGGUAGAGAGAAGCUUGCUUCUCUUGAGAGCGGCGGGACGGGUGAGUAAUGCCUAGGAAUCUGCCUGGUAGUGGGGGAUAACGCUCGGAAACGGACGCUAAUACCGCAUACGUCCUACGGGAGAAAGCAGGGGACCUUCGGGCCUUGCGCCUAUCAGAUGAGCCUAGGUCGGAUUAGCUAGUUGGUGAGGUAACGGCUCACCAAGGCGACGAUCCGUAACUGGUCUGAGAGGAUGAUCAGUCACACUGGAACUGAGACACGGUCCAGACUCCUACGGGAGGCAGCGAGUGGGGAAUAUUGGACAAUGGGCGAAAGCCUGAUCCAGCCAUG
rnacentral:rRNA from 1 species